UCGAGAAUUUUUCACAAUGGGGGAAACCCUGAUGGAGCGACGCCGCGUGGAGGAUGAAGGCGUUUUCGUCGUAAACUCCUGUCAUGCGAGAACAAGAAAGUGAUAGUAUCGCAAGAGGAAGAGACGGCUAACUCUGUGCCAGCAGCCGCGGUAAUACAGAGGUCUCAAGCGUUGUUCGGAUUCAUUGGGCGUAAAGGGUGCGUAGGUGGCAUGGUAAGUUGAAGGUGAAAUCUCGGAGCUCAACUCCGAAACUGCCUUCAAUACUGCUGUGCUUGAGGACUGUAGAGGAGAAUGGAAUUCACGGUGUAGCAGUGAAAUGCGUAGAUAUCGUGAGGAAGACCAGUGGCGAAGGCGAUUCUCUGGGCAGUUCCUGACACUGAGGCACGAAGGCUAGGGGAGCAAACG
rnacentral:rRNA from 1 species